rnacentral:rRNA from 1 species
UACGAAGGAUGCAAGCGUUAUCCGGAUUUAUUGGGUUUAAAGGGUGCGUAGGCGGACUUAUAAGUCAGUGGUGAAAUCUCGUUGCUUAACAACGAACGUGCCAUUGAUACUGUAGGUCUUGAGUACAGAUGCCGUUGGCGGAAUGUGUCAUGUAGCGGUGAAAUGCAUAGAUAUGACACAGAACACCGAUUGCGAAGGCAGCUUACUAUGGUUUAAUUGACACUGAGGCACGAAAGCGUGGGGAUCAAACAGG